UGGGGAAUAUUGCGCAAUGGGGGAAACCCUGACGCAGCCAUGCCGCGUGAGUGAAGAAGGCCUUAGGGUUGUAAAGCUCUUUCAGAUGCGAUGAUGAUGACAGUAGCAUCAAAAGAAGCCCCGGCUAACUUCGUGCCAGCAGCCGCGGUAAUACGAAGGGGGCUAGCGUUGUUCGGAUUUACUGGGCGUAAAGAGCAUGUAGGCGGGUCGAUCAGUCAGGGGUGAAAGCCCGGAGCUCAACUCCGGAACUGCCUUUGAUACUAUCGAUCUUGAGUCCGAGAGGGGGUGGUGGAAUAUCCAGUGUAGAGGUGAAAUUCGUAGAUAUUGGAUGGAACACCAGUGGCGAAGGC
rnacentral:rRNA from 1 species